AACGAACGUUGGCGGCGUGGAUGAGGCAUGCAAGUCGAACGUGAAAACCCUUCGGGUGAGUAGCGUGGCGGACGGGCGAGUAACACGUAAUCAAGCUACCUGCUAGACGGGGAUAACUUCGGGAAACCGAUCGUAAGACCCGAUGGGCUCACGACACCGCAUGGUGAUGUGAGUAAAUGGACGGGACCCUCCGGGGCCGUCUGCUAGUGGAGGUGAUUGCGGCCCAUCAGCUUGUUGGUAGGGUAAUGGCCUACCAAGGCUACGACGGGUAGCCGGCCUAAGAGGGUGGCCGGUCGCACUGGGACUGAGACACUGCCCAGACUCCUACGGGAGGCUGCAGUCGAGAAUCUUCCGCAAUGGACGAAAGUCUGACGGAGCGACGCCGCGUGGAGGACGAAGGCCCU
rnacentral:rRNA from 1 species